rnacentral:rRNA from 1 species
CCUCCUUAGAGUUUGAUCCUGGCUCAGGAUGAACGCUGGCGGCGUGCUUAACACAUGCAAGUCGAACGAUGAACCUCACUUGUGGGGGGAUUAGUGGCGAACGGGUGAGUAACACGUGAGUAACCUGCCCUUGACUCUGGGAUAAGCCUGGGAAACCGGGUCUAAUACUGGAUACGACCUUCUGGCGCAUGCCAUGUUGGUGGAAAGCUUUUGUGGUUUUGGAUGGACUCGCGGCCUAUCAGCUUGUUGGUGGGGUAAUGGCCUACCAAGGCGACGACGGGUAGCCGGCCUGAGAGGGUGACCGGCCACACUGGGACUGAGACACGGCCCAGACUCCUACGGGAGGCAGCAGUGGGGAAUAUUGCACAAUGGGCGCAAGCCUGAUGCAGCGACGCCGCGUGAGGGAUGAAGGCCUUCGGGUUGUAAACCUCUUUCAGUA